GCGCUUGCUUUGGCAGCGCACCUACUGAAAUCAGAACCAUACGGAGAAGGUUGCCGUGGCUCCUGUGCAAGGAUGACACGCAAGUUCAUAAAGUGUUCCAUUUUUUU